rnacentral:rRNA from 1 species
UACAGAGGGUGCGAGCGUUAAUCGGAAUUACUGGGCGUAAAGCGCACGUAGAUGGCUUCGUAAGUCGGAUGUGAAAUCCCCGGGCUCAACCUGGGAACUGCAUUCGAAACUGCGUCGCUCGAAUGUGGAAGAGGGAAGUGGAAUUCCAGGUGUAGCGGUGAAAUGCGUAGAUAUCUGGAGGAACAUCAGUGGCGAAAGCGACUUCCUGGUCCAACAUUGACAUUCAGGUGCGAAAGCGUGGGGAG